AAUAGAUACCCCGGUAGUCCACGCCGUAAACGACUGAGUGCUAAGUGUUAGGGGGGUUCCACCCCUUAGUGCUGCAGCUAACGCAUUAAGCACUCCGCCUGGGGAGUACGGUCGCAAGACUGAAACUCAAAGGAAUUGACGGGGGCCCGCACAAGCGGUGGAGCAUGUGGUUUAAUUCGAAGCAACGCGAAGAACCUUACCAGGUCUUGACAUCCCGCUGACCGCCAUGGAGACAUGGCCUUCCCUUCGGGGACAGCGGUGACAGGUGGUGCAUGGUUGUCGUCAGCUCGUGUCGUGAGAUGUUGGGUUAAGUCCCGCAACGAGCGCAACCCUUGUCCUUAGUUGCCAUCAUUCAGUUGGGCACUCUAAGGAGACUGCCGUACAAAUACGGAGGAAGGUGGGGAUGACGUCAAAUCAUCAUGCCCCUUAUGACCUGGGCUACACACGUGCUACAAUGGGUGGUACAAAGGGCGGCGAACCCGCGAGGGGGAGCGAAUCCCAAAAAGCCACUCUCAGUUCGGAUUGCAGG
rnacentral:rRNA from 1 species